AGUGUCCCUUGGGUCACAGGCUGUGGGAUGGGAUUUGGACUGUUGUCAAAAUGUCUGAGCUGCCUCCCUUUUCUCCACACAACAGUUCCUACCCGGGGCAGAGCAGGGGAGGCAGGAGAAGGAAGCUGCCUCCCCCCCCGGGCAGUUCGAGAGGGUGAGGAAGAAGAGGGCAGCUGCUGUGGCAGGAGUGGCAGCUGCCCUGUCCCCACAGGGAGAGGAGACCAUGAAAACCCCUUCCCCUCUUGGCAGGAGGCAAAAGCCAAAGACACCACGAGCAAAGCAGGUCCUGGCAAACCUGGAGUCGUUCCGGGUGUCCCGGGAGCAGUGUAUGAAGGCCCUGCAGAUCAACAAGCUGAGGAAAUGGUCCCAAGACAGUUCCUCUGGUGGGUAUUCCCAGGCACGGGAGGUGUUUUCCCCCAGGAAGGAUGUCCUGUCCUGCUGGAUGGGUGAAAAGAGAGCAGGGG
rnacentral:lncRNA from 1 species